rnacentral:ncRNA from 1 species
UGUCUCCUCCAUGUCUCCUCUUGAUAUGGAUUCGGCCCACCACCUGGUGGGCCUUUCUUU